rnacentral:rRNA from 1 species
AUACGUAGGGGACAAGCGUUAUCCGGAUUUACUGGGUGUAAAGGGAGCGCAGACGGCAGUGCAAGUCUGAAGUGGAAGCCCGGGGCUCAACCCCGGGACUGCUUUGGAAACUGUUCUGCUAGAGUACUGGAAGGGCAAGCGGAAUUCCUGGUGUAGCGGUGAAAUGCGUAGAUAUCAGGAGGAACACCGGUGGCGAAGGCGGCGUGCUGGACAGCAACUGACGUUGAGGCUCGAGAGCGUGGGGAGCAAACAGGAUUAGAUACCCUGGUAGUCCACGCUGUAAACGAUGAAUACUAGGUGUUGGGAGACUAAGUCUUUCAGUGCCGUCGCAAACGCAGUAAGUAUUCCACCUGGGGAGUACGUUCGCAAGAAUGAAACUUAAAGGAAUUGACGGGG